GGCUCCCUCCUCACAGCGUUUGCUCGCGGCAAAAGCCCCAGGGCUCCCGCAGCGAGGGGCGUCCGGGCUGCAGCGCGCCCGUGCUGGCCACGGAGUUCUUCAGCUGCUUGAUGACUCCGAAGAGCAGGAGGAAGAGCAGGAAGAGCAAAAAGAAAAACAGCGCCAGUACAAUCCUUCUUAUACUUAAGAGUUUCAACAAGAUAAAGGACUCUUGGUUUAGAAAUGGAAACAUGUCAUCGUGUAUCUUUGCAUUCUGAAUUUCAGGAUACUGCUGUCCUCCAAGCUGUUCAGUCGCAGGGAUGACCUUCACCUAGGUUUCCUUCAUUUAUACUAGAAUUGCUACAUAACUGGAAAAGAAUAAUGAACAACUCUG